rnacentral:rRNA from 1 species
AGAUGGCGACCGGCGCACGGGUGAGUAACACGUAUCCAACCUGCCGAUAACUCGGGGAUAGCCUUUCGAAAGAAAGAUUAAUACCCGAUGGUAUAAUCAGACCGCAUGGUUUGAUUAUUAAAGAAUUUCGGUUAUCGAUGGGGAUGCGUUCCAUUAGGCAGUUGGUGAGGUAACGACUCACCAAACCUUCGAUGGAUAGGGGUUCUGAGAGGAAGGUCCCCCACAUUGGAACUGAGACACGGUCCAA